rnacentral:rRNA from 1 species
GAUGAACGCUGGCGGCGUGCUUAACACAUGCCAGUCGAACGGAAAGGCCCUGCUUUUGUGGGGUGCUCGAGUGGCGAACGGGUGAGUAACACGUGAGUAAACUGCCCUUGACUUUGGGAUAACUCCAGGAAACUGGGGCUAAUAUCGGAUAGGAGCUCCUGCUGCAUGGGGGUGGGUGGAAAGUUUCGGCGUUUGGGGAUCUUCUCGCGGCUUAUCAGCUUGUUUGUGGGGUAGUGGCUGACCAAGGCUUUGAAGGGUAGGCGGCCUGAGAGGGUGACCGGCCACAUUGGGACUGAGAUACGGCCCAGAAUCCUACGGGAGGCAGCAGUGGGGAAUCUUGCACAAUGGGCGGAAGCCUGAUGCAGCAACGCCGCGUGCGGGAUGACGGCCUUCGGGUUGUAAACCGCUUUCGCCUGUGACGAAGCGUGAGUGACGGUAAUGGGUAAAGAAGCACCGGCUAACUACGUG